UUUCACUAUUGAUACUCUUAGAGGUCUGUAGACAUGUGUGUGGGUUGUAUAUAGAGAAUGAUCAGCUGUGUCUAUAUAGUUGUUGUGGAUGCUUCUGUUUGUUGUAGCAGCCUUGCCAGCUUGCAUAUGUUAUCGAUACAUAGUGGCAGCCUUGUCGGCUUGCGUAGUAUAUUGACAUGUAGUGGCAGCCUUGUCGGCUUGCGUAUUAUGAUGAUAUAUAGUGGCAACCUCGUCGGCUUGCGUAUUUAUUACGUUAUGAUUGAUUGGGAACCUUUGGGUCUAUGUCGAUUCCCAUGUUGUCUAUAGUGUCAGUCUGAUUAUGUCUAACAGGUACAUACAGUUGUCCAGCUCGGGCACUAGUCAUGGCCCACGGGGCUAGGUCGUGACAGUUUUCAACUCAACAAAUAAGGGGGUUAUACUCGCUUAAAGUGAGGCCUUGUGAAAACUCACUUGAAAAUAUGCUCCGUAGAGUAGUUUCCAAGUUUACUUUGUCCUACGACUCUCCUUAUGCCUUGAUUAGAUUUCAAAACCCUUUCUAUACUCACCACUUGAUUCCAUUGUGCCCCCAUCUUAUGAGUCGCACCUUAGCCUGAAAGUACAGGGUGUUACAUGAUUGUACUGGGUAUAUCAUUCACAUGCUUCCUUGGGGACAAAUAGAUUAGAUCACUAUCACCGAUGACGACUAUGAUCAGGGGAUGGUACAAGAGGUUUGUGGUUACGCUGAUCGGACAGAUUUGCCAUCGGUGACAAUUCCCAUAUCCCGAUCCAUAAGGACGCAACCCCUUCACAGUUACAUUCGUUGGCAGUUUCUAUAUUCCCCACUAGGUAGGAGCAAUCUUGUGCGCUUCUACUAAAAGGACUUCAAAGUCCAUAACUGUCACCACCUGAUAGAAGGCUAAGAACCACGGUGAUCUUCUGAUCUUUCUGAAUUUUCACAACUUAUUUCUUUUUGUAGUCCAUUGAUGAUAUAUAGUUCCUCGGGUAUUUUCAUGAGAAAGGCGAAGGUCAAACAUUCUACUUAGUUUCAUGCCGCCGCCCAAAUCAUCCGAAACUUGGCGACCAUAGUCUUAGCUAAACUUGAGAGAGGGAGUUCUCAGUAAAAAAAUUCUUCCCUCUCUGGCUCCACCAAAAUAAAGAGAGAUUUGAAGACAGAAGGGUCCGAGGAGAAGGGGAUCAAUUCCCGGUUACUUCAUCGUUGUUGAGUAGGUGAGCUCUAAAAGAAUUCAACACAUAAGGUGGUAGUUGGGAAGAUGACGAAGUAGAGAAAAAAAGGAGAAGAGUGAGAAGGAAAAUAAGAAAAAAGAAGAAGAAGAAGCAGCCUGACCGGCAGGGGAGCUUUAAUCAAACCGUAGGUAGUCCGCAAGACUUUGGUCGUUUCCACGGAGCAUGGCGAUGAUGGGGUCCGGUUCUUGAUGAGGAGUCUUGUAGUUUCUAUUCUCGGACUCGGCUUUGGGUAUCGGAUUCGGGUAUGGAUCUAGAUGUCGGAUUGAGCAUGAUCUAAAUUUUAGGAUUCGUGGUACAAAUCCAGGUAUGGAUACACAGGUACGGAAAUUUGGCUAGAAAUAAUUCAAAAUUCUAAGAGUAUAGCUACAAAAAUAUGCCUAGAUUAUGAGAGAUAUUCUGUGGAAGUACUUACAUGUAGUUUGUAGAGGGCAUGUGAUUCAAUCUUCUCUUCCGACAAUUAGGGUGCUAGACUGCGUUCUCCGAGAUAGACAAUAUUUCAUUAAGUCUCCUACAAUUUACACAACAAAGUAGCAAACUAAAUAUAAAAAAACAUAUUAAAGUAUAACAAAGAUAAUUACUAAUAUAAUUUGACAUAAAGCAUAAGAACACUUAUCUUUUAUUCAAGAGUUGCACAACUCUUGAUCUUACUCCACAUCUUUGCCUCAUCAGUAAUCAAGAUACAAAAUAUAACUUUAUAAAGUAAAUGAGAGUAAAAUAAGCCAACUUAAACAAAGUAAAAUUUGAAAUUGUAUAAGUCUAAGACAUCAAUAAAAAGACAUGUUCAAAAAGACUUAUACAUAGAAUCAAGUCACGUUCAAAAAGACUUAUACACACUUCACGUCAUUUUCAAAAAGAGAUAAACAAAUAGUCCAGUUAUAUUCAAAUUAACUUUCUUCUUCAAUAUCUACAACUUCCUCCAAAUCUUCAAAUUCUUCUCCAAAGACCACCGCUUCUAAUUGAGGUUCAUCUGUCGAUAGCUCAAGUAAACCAUUGGAAGUCUCAUCAAUAUCAAAAUAAUCCCCACCGAGAAGAACAUGAAAAUGAAUAGAAAUGUUAGAACUUUUCAAAGGGACAAAGUUUAUCAUACAAUAAAUUAUUUAAGAAAUUGUACACAUACCCAAAUUCCAAUACUUGCUCAGACCACUUAUAUAUUUUUCUUUCUUGUGAGAGAGAAAUUAAAUGUAUAUUAUAAUGUACAAAUAUAAAAUUUUGCUCUUGAAGUUGCUAAUUUAUUUCUCUUAAUAUUGUGAAUCAUAGAAUAAGUGCUUCAAUUUAUUUCACAACAAAAGGAAGAAGCCGGUAGUGAAAGCAAUUUGAAAGCCAAAUUUUAAAAAGUGCAGCUGAAAUGCCAUGAUUCGCCAAACAAGAAAGAGGUUUCUCAUACAUCGUAGCCUGAAUACACGAGGCUCACCAAAAUAAUUACUAUCACUAGAAAAUGCUUCAUAUUCCAAAGAAACUUGUUCAUUUCAUUUGAUUUAAAAUAUCUUUAAGCAUUUUACAAUAUUCAAAGAAAUCUCACUAUCUUCGUUCGGCGCUUGCCUCCGAAUUCCAUUUUCACCUUUGAGCCAUGUUUCAUGAUAGUACUUUGAAAUCAAAGAAUGUGUCAUACAAUGCAUUGAGGUAUUACUUUUGUUCCACCUAGCCAUAAGAACUUAUUGGAUUGUAUCAAAGAUUCCGAUUGACCAGUGAGGAGAUCCUCUCCUCAUGCUCAAAAAUAAUUUUCUUCACUUUCUCGAUCAUUGAGACCCAUAUGACAUAAAUAAGGUGCAACUUUCGACAAUCAAGAUCGGCAAAUUCUAAGCAUGGAUACAAUUAAUAUUCAUAAAUCUUAAAAAGAAGUCAAUUUUGUCCCAUCAUUUAUCAUUCAUAAGAGAUUUAAUUUCACGUGUUUUUCCUUCAAUUCCCUUAUCUCCCUUAUAGUGCUUUCAUUCGUCGUCCAUCACCAUAUUCUCUAAAAAAAAAAAGACUUCACUUGUGAACAUGAGUAGCCGUGAUAAUAUGUGAAACAAACGUUCUUUCGGCAACUCUCAACAAACAAAGUCCGAAUUUUUGUGAAAAAUAGAAUGGGAGAUGUCAUGAUUCACCACGAAAUUCUUCAAAUUGCUCAAUUGACUAAUCAACUCUACUAUCCAUUUGUAAUUUAUAUAGUGAGCUGAUUUUUCCGGAGGUUGACACAUGAUUUUCAUUGCUAGAUUUAAACAGUGAACUACACACAGUUCAAAAAGAUGAAUGAAAAGAUUGCUUUACGAUACUACUGACAAGUUAAUUUCAUAUUACUAGCAAUAUCAAUUAUAACUUGAACAACAUUCUCUAAACCAACUUCUUCUAUUACUUUAAGAAAUAGAUUAGCAACAUAUUCACUAUCCUUCACAAUUCCACUUGAAUCAAUGGAAUUCAAAAACGUUGGUCCCCCGUUAGAUGCCGCCAUUAUAUUUAUCAAUGGUCGUCGCUUAACAUCCAACCAUCCAUCGGAAAACGUUGAUAAUUCUUUCUUUUCCCCAUGAAUCUUUAAUUGGAUGCAAUUUUCUACUAAUGUGAGUCUUUUCUUAAGCUAAAAAGCUUGUUCUAAGCCUAUUAUACGUUGGAGAAAUAUAACCAGGUAAAACAUUCUCUGCUAAAAAUUGCGAAUACUUUUUGAAAUAUGGAGACUUUUCAAGAUUAAAGGAUAAACUUGAUGCGUCGAACAUACAAGCUGUCAAUUUGUCUGCAGUAUUUCUUUGAUGAAUCUUGAAAGAUUUUUCAAUAGCUCCACCUUCUGCACUUUUUCUUUUGUUGUACUAAAUCAGAACCUUCUGCAAGUGAAAGGUAAUCUGGCUUUUUAUUUUCUAGCAUCUACUUGGAUGGAUGAUUUUUUAUCUUCAGUUUGGUCAUGCUCUAAUUUCAAAGCCGCACAGAUAUCACUGCUGAUUUUUCUGCAAGCUUCAAUCCCAUGAUUUAGAAGCUAUAAGAGAUGUUCUUUGGAUUUAUGAUAUGACCCAGUAAUCCUUUUGUUGCAAUAGUUGCAUAAUCAAAUCCUAUUCCCACCACCCUCAAUAGCAAGUUGGAUAAAUUUAACAUGAUUUCAUAGGGGUGUAUCAUCAAAAUCUGCAGCCCUUUUUGUUUGUUUUGGAAGCCUUUUGCUUUUUCUUUUUCAGCCACAGAUGAAGGAAUUUUGAAAUGGAUGCAAAUAUUCUUAUGAACCAGUGAAGAGUUUUGCUAUCAGCAAAAAAGACUGGCAGAGAAGAAGGGAAUCUAAGUCUUUGGAGGGAAACAAUAUUUUGGGUUAUCUAGACAAUGUAAUGAGUAUUAUAGCGUUAUGAGCUACCUAAGAUGUUUGUUAGCUAUUUGGACAAAUUGACGGUGCAUUUAUACCUUUUGGAACUGACCAUUGAAUGAGAUUAGAUGUGUGCUACAUUAUUUCAUU